GCACUUUAAGCAGUGAAGAAGACUCUUCGGUUAAUACCCGGAGACGAUGACAUUAGCUGCAGAAUAAGCACCGGCUAACUCUGUGCCAGCAGCCGCGGUAAUACAGAGGGUGCAAGCGUUAAUCGGAAUUACUGGGCGUAAAGCGAGCGUAGGUGGCUUGAUAAGUCAGAUGUGAAAUCCCCGGGCUUAACCUGGGAACUGCAUCUGAAACUGUCAGGCUAGAGUAGGUGAGAGGAAGGUAGAAUUCCAGGUGUAGCGGUGAAAUGCGUAGAGAUCUGGAGGAAUACCGAUGGCGAAGGCAGCCUUCUGGCAUCAUACUGACACUGAGGCUCGAAAGCGUGGGUAGCAAACAGGAUUAGAUACCCUGGUAGUCCACGCCGUAAACGAUGUCUACUAGUCGUUGG
rnacentral:rRNA from 1 species